rnacentral:rRNA from 1 species
ACGAACGCUGGCGGCGUGCCUAAUACCUGCAAGUUGAGCGCUGAAGGUUGGUACUUGUACCAACUGGAUGAGCAGCGAACGGGUGAGUAACGCGUGGGGAAUCUGCCUUUGAGCGGGGGACAACAUUUGGAAACGAAUGCUAAUACCGCAUAAAAACUUUAAACACAAGUUUUAAGUUUGAAAGAUGCAAUUGCAUCACUCAAAGAUGAUCCCGCGUUGUAUUAGCUAGUUGGUGAGGUAAAGGCUCACCAAGGCGAUGAUACAUAGCCGACCUGAGAGGGUGAUCGGCCGCAUUGGGACUGAGACACGGCCCAAACUCCUACGGGAGGCAGCAGUAGGGAAUCUUCGGCAAUGGACGAAAGUCUGACCGAGCAACGCCGCGUGAGUGAAGAAGGUUUUCGGAUCGUAAAACUCUGUUGGUAGAGAAGAACGUUGGUGAGAGUGGAAAGCUCAUCAAGUGACGGUAACUACCCAGAAAGGGACGGCUAACUACGUG